rnacentral:lncRNA from 1 species
UGAGUUAGAUGUAGUCAAUGAGAUACACGAUGAUGGCGAGAAUGCAGACAUGCCUGUCAACAGACCUACAUAUUUCGUAUCACAAUGCUAGAGCAACACAGGGACGUCUCAUUAACAUUCUCAUGGAAUGCAUGGUAGGACGCGAAAUCGAGGGUCAACUCGUGCCCUACCAUGCCAAUAACGUUCUUUUGGGGGGGGGGGGGGUGCCCUGGCAUUUUGACCAAGUUUUGGCGAACAUUUUUAUCAACUUUUCAAAGGUCAUCAAAUUCGUGAUAGUAAACUUGAAUACUUGUGAGGUGGGGUUUUUUAAAGGUGAAAAGUUCGCGCAAGUCAACUAAUAUUUCUUUGCGCUUUCGGUACCACAAUAGUUAGUUGACAAUUUAAACGAAUUUGAAAACCCAACAAGUGACCAACUAUUUUGACCAAGUAUUUUCUAUUUUGACCAACCUUUUGAACUUAAUAUAUACCUCACUGGAAUAAAACCCUCUUAAUUAAAUCGAUAUAAGCAAUAAAAACACCAGGAGGCAUUGAGAAUUUUUGGCAAUAAAAAAUGUUCUUCUUUGCGGGGGCCUUUAAGGUUUUAGUUUAUUACGUAUUUUAAUUUUACAAGCUUUGUCACAACAAGAAUACAUGAG